ACUGAGGGAUCGAGGCUUUUCGGGUGGGGUGGGGGUGAAGCAGGGUAGUUUGUUUUGUUUGUGUUUUUUUUUUUUUAACAUACGUCACUUCUUGCAGAGAGCUGGGUAGAGAUAUGAUGUGGUGAAACGUUGACAUUUGUUGUCAAAUUCCCAGUGGCAGUUAUAGAUUUCUGCUUCUUAGACUUUAGUGUUGCUGGUUAUAACAGCUUGCAUCUUACCUUUGGGAGUGGAAGGAGGAGAAAAACACUAGUAGCACUGGUUUGAAAUAAUGCACAGUUUCAGAUCAUGACAGUCUAUAGGGAGAGAUACAGUGCUUAAGCGAGUACUUGGUUUUUGAUCUGUUUUCAUCAGUUAAUUGACUAUUUUUUUAAAUUUAACAGAUUCAGUCAAAAAUAUUUUGAUGGCUAUAUGGCAGUAUAUGAAGAAAUCUAUUUAUCACUUUUGAACUUUUGAACAUUCCUCUGUAGUAUUUGUAUGUUUGUACUUCUAUAGUACUGGCAUGGCCUUCUAAAUGGAUGGUGCCAGUCAACAAAGUAAAUGAUCUGUUAUGGUUAAUGUUUCCUUUGGAAAUCUCAUGUCAGGUUAUUUUUUUUCACUCACAUGCUACUCAAAAUCACAACAAAACAGCUAUUACACUAUGUGCUGGCAACCCUUCUUAGUUCCAUAUUACAACUUUGUAACAGUGUGUGGUGUUACUGAUGCACUGAACUGCUACUAUAGGCAAUUGAGGCCGAAGUGAUUUGAGGUGAAGUUACUAUGACUUGCCCAGCUUCCACUGUCACAAAAGUGCAUUUAUAUGAAUAAAACUACUUAAAAAUGAAGUUUUGUCUUGGCCAAAUCUGCCAACUAGACUUGGUAAUAGAGGUGUGAGAGCUUAGCUAAGAAGCUUCUAUCACCAGUCUGUUGACAGGUGAUGAUGGUGAUCAUUUAACAAGCAAUAAUAAAUGGAAGUAUAUAAUCUCAUAAAGUAUCUCUUAGAGAACUAUGAAAUUGUAACAGGUAUGUUGAGUUUUACUUGGAAUUACAUAGUUACACUCACCAUGCCACAAAAAGCAUGGUAAUGUUAGAAUAUCUGGCUCCUUUAACUGCCUUUUUUUUUUUUUCUGGAAACAGCUAUGACUUAGAGUCUACCAAUUUAUAGUCAAAAAUUGUACUGUAAGUUAAAAAAGACUGGAAAUUCACUUUGUGCUUUCCCACUGCAUGUUGCUCUUUCUGUAUGCAUCUCUGUACCUCUUCCUUUUUUUUUUUUUUUUUUUUUGUACAUCCUACUCCAAAAAUUUCCUUAAGGGUCGGUGAAAGUUGAGAUUGGUGCCAGUUGGUUAUUUCUUCAAAUUAUCCUCUAAGUGACUUGAGGACCAAUCAGUGGUUCAGGAUGUAAUUUAUAGACGUGUAUCACAGAUGGAGUGAAAUAGCUGAAACUUCUCUCUGUUUUACAAAUACACACUAGAAACAUAAGAAAGCAGGUCUUUAAAAAAUCUGAGCAAAGCUGGGGCCAGAAAGUCUUCUCACAAACAACGAAGUAAUAUGAAGAAUAAAACAACGAGAUGAUGGUGAUCUGGUGAUAUGCCUGCAAAGGAAAGGAAAAGUAACUGCUAUGCCUAGGGAAGGCUCCAGACUGCCAGCUUGUGGUGAAUGUAGCAGCAUUGGUGUAGUGGUAGUCUAAAGAUACAGAUUCUAAAGCACACAGUCUGACAUGUAAGUAUGUGAAAGAACAUAGUCAUUUGGCAAGAAAAAUAUUAGGAAAGUCUGUGCAAGACAUCUUGACAGGAAAAAACCCAAAAUUUUUAUUUUUUUAACUUCAGAAAAGUAAUUUUUUUCUUUCAUUUUCCCCUACUUAUGUCUUUAUAAACUUGUUAUCUGUUUCAGAUAUUGUGAAUAAACAUCUUUAUUUGCAUGUCUAACUGAACCUACCAUGAAUUAAAAGUGAUCUGUUAUUAAAUGAAUAUAAAAAAGUAAUUUCUCACUCCAGUCCCUGGACCAAACUGCAAGUACCUGGUUCCCCAUUACGUUUUGUAGCAUAUCAGAAAGCUAAGAGAGCAUGCUCCCAAAUAAACUGUUUGGAUUCUCUGGAGAAUAGGUGUUACAGGUUCAGAGAAGGCAGCAUCACUGCAGUAACGGUAAGUAACCAACUCUCUGUUGUUCUCAACACUGGGGUGUACACUGAACUUGGAAGGCUCACAGGGAGGCUAUAACAAGAGCCUAAAACCAGUUGGAAACUAGGUGACAUCCUUGUAUCCCUUCCUACUGUGACAGAAUUUAAAAUAUGCCUUAAAUAUACCUAUUUCUUUGUCAGUAUUAUGUUAUGUGUUAUUAGAAGAUUUUAGAUAUUCAGUUGCUCCAGAUAAAGCUUUGUGUUCUGUGGUCUCAGAGUCUCUCCAGUCACUGAGCUGUUCAUCUUAAUGGGACUUUUUUUCUUCCUUCCAUCCAUUUCUUUCUUGAUACUAAAGAUAACAUUGUUACUACAAUGACAAAUUGAUGUAGUUUUUCUUUCUGAAUUUGAAUUCCUUUGGAAACAUUUAAGUGUCACAAUGGCAUAUUGAUAAACCAGUGUUGGGUGUAUUAACCAUUUUGCUGCUCUUGCUUUAGCAGAAAUGGGCAGUUAAUAUAUUUAUCUCCAAACCCGCUCUGAUAAGAUUGUUUUCCUUACUGAAUCACUCAAACCUUUGGCUUCUCCUCUAGAAACUCCUGCAUUAGUGAUGCAUUUUCCAUAUGAAAUUGUGAAGACUGUAUCAAGAACUAAUAGUUCUUAAGGCAAGCACAAAGAAUUGCUGCCUUUUGUAUGCACAGAGAUAAUAUAUUUAGUAAAACAAUCUCUUUUCCUCCUAGAGGCUUCAGCCUCUUCCAGGACCCUAUCUAGGCAGUGCCAACUUAAUGAUCAAAACCUUAAAAUAGAGGUUAGAAGUACUAAAUUUGGAUGACCAAUUUAGUAUCACAAGGGUACAAUUUCUAAGAAUACUUAACAUAGGAGAGUACUUAUAUAUUAGCCUAUAUACCCCAUUAUCUUCAGCAGGCACUUGGCUCUGCUCAUCAGAUCCAAGGUCUCCAGUUGGGUGCUCAGAAAAUAAAGAAUGAACAAUUUGCAGCAGUUGUGAGCAACUUCAAGCAACAUUUCACUGCCAAAACCAUGAUGCCUUUGUGCUUUUGUAUUAAUUACUUUAUUUGUUACAGACACAACCGUCUAAUCUCUUCAUCAUCCUGGAUUUAUAGUAGAUCAGAGAUGUACAUCAGCAAUUUGUGACUUGGAGCUGAGCAUCUGAUAGGAGAUUUUGAUGUCACCUUGCUUUGUAGUCCUUCCCCAUGUAAAUGAGGAGACAAGGUUUUAAUUCUGAAUGAGCCCAUCUAUUUUGGGAUUUCUUCUGCAGCAAAUGACUAGGGAUUCUAACAGCACAGCUUCUUCCACUGCAUACUGUCUUAAUCAUCUACAGACCAGGUUUGUCCUCUAGAAUGAAUGAGGAAGAGGUAGUAAAGUAAUUAAGACUGGAUUUUUCUCUCAUUGCUGAUUGAAUUUUAACUUAAUUAUACUAAGGCUGAAGUAUUAAUUCAUUGUAAACAUUGGAGAUUGUUUCUUGGAGAUACAGGUUUGUGAGUGACCUAACUAGGAAAACAGCUUCACUCAGGGUUUAUACUUCAUUACAUAUUACACUUGCAAUUUUUGAUACUGACAGCAAGGAAUUGAGAAUAGAGAAGUCGCUCUAAGGGACUUUAUAAAUAAAAUAAAAUUAAUAGACUUUAUGAAGGCAGUGAGUAACUCUUCUUUGCUUGGAUGAAGGCUGUUUCCGGUGCAGAGGAAAGGAUCAAGGAGCAGGAAAGGGUUAUGAGAGGAAGUAAUAAUGUAUUUGCAGUAAUAUUCUUCAAACGGGUUAUGCUGGCUUAAGCAGUUACCUGAGUUUGUGCUACACAAAGUGUCUUCUGAAAUCCAGACCUGAUGAGGAAAACAACCACAGGGAGAAAUUGGAAUAAAAAUACUGAAAAUGAUGUUUCAUUUGAGGAAAUAUAUUGUGUAUCAGAUAUUUUUGUAGACAGCAUUUUGUUUUCCUUUUGCUGUGGCUGCCUUUGACAAAAAUCUUCAGUUCAAAUAGGUGCUUUUUUUGUUGCCUUAACUUUCUAUAACUUCCAUCUUUAUCUGCUACUGAGGUUUCCUCAGCAUGCCUUGGAAGAAAAAAAAAGUCAAAAUCCAAUGUAAAUUGUUUAGCCAGUGUUUUGUAAUUUUUUGCUAUGAAAGUAUGAUAUUUUUAGAACUUUUCACAUAGCAAUUAUUGUUUUGCUUUUUGAAUCCUACUUGUUACCACUGACAUUUUGUCUUUGCUCAUAACUUGGCUCAGUUAGUUACACAAUGUGAAUUGACAGACACUGUAAUUCUAAAUGUGCAGCUUCUUUUGAUGGCUAAUAACUAGGGAUGCUGAAGGGGCAUUCCCAAAGCCUGGAUUUACUUUCCUCCUGCCUCCCCUGUGCUGGCAAUCAUUUUCAUCCAGUCAUGCAGGGAGGCAGUUCUGGGAGCUAGACAAAAAAUUGGUGACUUGUUUAUGAAGGGUUAUUUUGAUGGCAGUUACCAUUUGGCAGGAAUAGCUUCCCAUAAAGACCUUUGCAGGUGGAGUUACUAUGCAGAACAUAAUAAAAGUGCCAAACUGUAAACACUAGGAACUGAAUAAUUAAUGCCAAAGAUACAAUGACUAGAGAGAAGGGGAAUACUACUCCCUUGUUUGUGGCUCUGUCUGCCCUUUUGUAGACAAAGUAUUGUUAAACAUAAGAGCAAAAGAACUCUGCUCCAAAGGGUUCUGCUCAACAGAAUGGUGUCCAGUAGAUAGCAGUUUUGCUAUUUAAAGGACCUACAUGUGAGUAGAUGGCAAACUUUGUGCUUUUGGUGUAGCAUUUUGUAAUUUGGGGAACUGUGUUUUGUUUUUUUUUUUUUAUUUUUGGUUGAAUAGUAGUUUACAUACAGUUUCAUGUAUAUCUUAACACUGAGGACUUUUUUUUUAAAUCUUUGCUGUGUCCGUAGGGGUGAGCUCAAGCCCCACCUUCCAUCAUGCAACAGUUAUGAGUGUAUAUGGUAGAGACCUCCUUAUAACUGCAAAAUCCAAAAGGUACAUGAGGUUAAAGGAUUCAAGCUAGAUAGUGGGAGGGUAAGUAAGGCAGUAAGCAGAUUACCCUGCCAAUUGUGUAUCUCAACAAACUGCUUAACAUAUCUUUCUGUCUGCAAGUGACAGUCUACAAACCUCUUCUUGCAGUAGGUGACUCAAGCAGUAGUUGCCACAAAUGCUUAAAUGGAAAUGGGGUGAGGGCCUUUGCAUAGCAGCUGUACAGCUUAAAGACCGCUCUGUCAAAUGGUCUUUAAGUAUUAUCUAUAGAUAACAUUCCAUAGGACUGCUUUGCAGAUGCAACUCACAGAGGCAUUUCUUAGCAAGCAUGCUGAUGUGGCUUGAGUUCUGGUGGAGUUCUGAUGAUAAGAGGGCUCUGCCUUUAUCAGUACCAUAAAAGGCAUUGACACAGCCUCCAGUCUGUUUUAAAUCUCAUGUUUUGGUGAAGACCUUUAGUUUGAAUCAACAUGAACAGUUCUGAAGAUCUAAAGGGUCUUCUUACCAAUUCUGUAGAGACCCAUUUUGAUUCUGAGAAUAAGAAAUAUGGUACGUGCAGGAAGUAACAGUGAGGCCAGAAGAAGCAAAAAAAACCUGAUUCCCUAGCAGCUGGUGAACAUGGAUGAACACCAAUAUUAUUUCAUCUUACUAACCCUUUUGUCUUCAAGUUCACCCUUUGAAGGCUAAAACUUCAGGAUCAGAGGAAUGAAAAUCAGACGAUUCUUCUUAACCAGAGAACAAGGGAGAUACUCAGUAAAUAUGUAGGGGUAAAAGGGCCAAUACAUUUCUCCUGUAUUUGAAGCCAAAAGGUUGAUCCCUGUUCUGGAAUUGUCAUCUAGGACUUCGGACCAUAUAUUCCAGUCAGCCUAGUAUCAAAAAUAAGUCAGCUUUUUCUGCCAAAGUAUCAACGAUAAGUAGAUGGAUCAGCGAUAUGUGGAAUUGUCUUUAAAUACAAUAGGUUGCAAAGAUCAGGUGGGAGAGGUGGAGGGACACUACACUGCCUCACGGGCUGAAGGUAAACAGUUGUGGUUUUGUUUGUCAGUGCACUGCUGUAACAUGUUGAUAGGGUUGCAGCAUCUUUUCUGCAGUGCAUGUUCUGGCUUCUGUGAGGUUUGGGAAUAACCUCUCUUUUGAGAAAAACCAGCCUGCAAGUAAUUUGCCAGUGCCAUGUGCCACAACUGAUGAAGUAAGGGAGAUAAAAAAGCAUCCCCUUGCAGGAAGCGAGGUACCAUAGUAAUGUUUUGUCUUAUGAGACUGUAUUCUCAGGGGCAACAUUCAUCAUUAAUAGAUGAGUCUGAAGGUAUAAACGGUAUAGUGGGGAAGCCAGACUUGAAAACUUUAUAGAGACAGAUUGGCUUGAGGCGUUAUACAGAGGUACCACUUGACUUAGCAAGGUUAGACAGGCUUGUCAUCAUGAUAGGUUUUGGACUGCCAUAACAUGCAUGUGUGGGUCAUCCUCCUAUCUUGAAAUGGAGAAGUGUCUUGCAGGUUCUAAAGAAUAUGUGGAGUGGGCUCUGCCUCUUGUCCUUUCACCAGCCAGCUGUUCAGACUGGGAGACAGAUACAGAGUUCUAUGGAGGGGAAAUCAGUGUCACUGCAAAUAUUUAAGUGCUGUGGCAAGUCUGAGUUGAUCAUUAUUAAUCUGUAAAGCAAAGAUGAUACUACGUAGGUGAUACACUUUAGCAACUUAGAAAUGUGCCCUAUGAAGUUUCCUUCUGCGAGGAAGGAGAGGAGGAUCCAACGCAGAUAAAUAGCAUUUGUGUUUGUUUACAUGAUCCUUCCUUUUUGAAAUGUUUCUCUUGAGAAUUUGAUAACUAGUGCUGGUGAAAGCCAGUAGGCAGAAGAUAUUCUUUCUGUGGAAGUCUUCCAUGCAGGGUGAGUUAGCAGUGGCAACUUGAAAAAAACUUGAUGCUGCCAAGUAGGAGUGUGAAGAUUCCGAUGGCGUGGGACUGAAAUCCCAAGCACAUGUUGAGCUAGUGCCAAAAAAGGUGGUGAGGGUCCUGUUGCCAUCAAACUCUUGUUCAGAGGUACGGUUCUUUUUUCCUUGAAAUUGUAUGGUAACCCAGUAGAAUUAGUUCUUCCUUGUCCAAAAACAGAAAGAAUACUAUUUUGAGGCACCAAGUCUCACUGGUGAGAUGGAAAAGGCAAAGGGAACAGAUCUUUGAGAUUAUAGAAGUGUGUGCUAAGGACUAGCCAAAUGCCCCAGACGAUACUACAUACUGUUGCAUUUUGAAAUAAUAUGGGCUAACACACUAAUAUUUAACACAGUGGGGCUGAAGAUUCUGAUCUGGUAGCCUGUCAUCAGGUCAAUGAGAUAUGAUUCAGAAGUGUAAAGCUCCUAAUAGUGAACUAUGUGUUGAGCCUGCCCUGGUCUUUGUGCUGUUGCUCUGAGGUACCGUAUCAAGGAAUGGCACAUGUUAUGUGCCAGAGCCUGGACGGGCUAUAGCAAAAACUCAUCAUACCUUCUUAUUGAGAAGAAUUGACAGGAUCUGGAACGCUGAUGAACCCUGCCUGCAUGUUAGUAAUUUGAGGUGGAGACACCGUCUUCAGUAUGGGCACCAGGGAAUGAAGCUCAGCAGUUCUUUGAAAUUCUGUAGGGAAUCUGAGGAGCAGGGAGGCCUUUCUGCAUCAGAAAGUGGAUCAGAAGAUUUUAAUUUCAAAUCUGUUAGAUCAGCUCCUGGUACCAUAACACAUUGUCAUGAUUGAUUCAGGCUGUGCUACGAGUCCUUGGUCAAUAGGUUGUGGGAAUCAAUGCUGCUGCUGCUGUCUCCUUAAUGAAAUCAUUUGGAACUGCCACUUCCUGUUUUUAUCAGCAUGAAGUUUUAGAUCUUACACCUUGUGGAUGGAGUGUUUUUACCAAAUGUGCCCUACGCACGGGGCAGGCAGAGCUGGAAGAUGAAUCUCAAGAAGUAGUCAUGUAAGUAGAGCUUGCUAGAGAAUAAAGCUCAAGUUUAAAAUAGAUGGUUAAAUGAUACAAAUACCGGUAAGGAACACUGUAUCAUUGAAGGUACGUCCAGCUACGGAAUGCUGUAGUCCACCUGGCAGAAAAAAAGAAACUGGAAAAGUGCCAAACUUCCUUGUGGAUCAGACAUUUGAGAGUAUGGACACCAUCAAGUUCUCUGGAAAACUUGUCUCCAGUUACACAGCCUUCGUACAGCUGCAGAGCAGACACAUGUGGAUUCUCACUUAAAAGAUAAAACAACAUGUUUUCUAUCAUAAAUGAGAUUAUUAUACUUAUUAUUAGCUUCUUGACAUUAUUUAUCAUGUCUAGGCAUCCUUAUCCUUUGUGCGCUAAUGUAUAUGAUGUAGUAUGCUGCUUCCUCUUUAAUAUCUUUCUAUCACAAGCUGAAUUCCAGUGCAACAACAUUUACAGCAUGCUGAUUUAAGUUAGACUUGCUGAGACUGAUGGUAGGAUCGCUUAAGUGAUAUAACGGGAGAGUCAUUCCUCACAGGCAAGUACAGAAAUGACCAGAAGGCCUCUGUAGUUCAUACAAUCUUUUUUUGUUUUUGUUUUAUUGGAAAUUGAAGUUAAGUGGGCCUAUCUGAUCCUAAAGAUCUAUUUCUACACCGAGUGCACUGCUGUUUUAAUAGCUUCUGUUUUGUUAAGAGGUCGGUGUGCUGGAUGGUCCCUGAUGGGGAAAAAGGAGCUGGAAAGUACUUUACCUAUUCGACGGGAUUUCCUUAGCGAAGUUACUUAAGCUCUCGAUCUUAAUUCACUUUGUACAAGUAAGUAAUGACAGGUGUAUCUAUUUCUGAUUUCCUAGUCCUAAAUUUAUUGUAGGACUAACUGCUGUUUGAGGCGAGGAAGCAGAGCAGCACUAGAGAAAAUGUAAAAAUGAAUUGGCAAGUUGUUUUGAAGAAAGCGUUACUCAGCGGAUGGUUGUUACAGAUGGGCAAAGAGGAUGAUGUCUUGUCUUGAGUGUUUGCUUUUUACUACACGCUGGAGGUGUUCUGUACGAUCAGCAGAGGCAAGGGUUCAUCCUAGGCUGGGCUAGCUACAAGUUGUUUUUUAAGCAUGUGGGUGCUGCUGCCUCACAGAAAUGUAUUGCAGUAGAAUCCUCCAGAUCUUGAAUGUGGCUGUAAUGGCUGUCUAAAAGUAAAACGUAACAAAGGGUGUCCUUUGCAGGGAGAGACAGAAAUAACUUGCUUUUUGCUUUGUCAAAAUGUAAGGCUACUAUCAGUGAAGUUAAAAGUAGCAGCAGCCUGACCCGGAGACCAUGCAAAACCUAACUUUCAAGUAAAUUUUCUACGUGUGAAUCUCAAGCUUGGACUUCCCCCCAGAGAAAUAAUAAAUACCACUCGCUUGUA